rnacentral:lncRNA from 1 species
AGGAUUAUGAGAUAGAAUAAAAAUUAGGAAGCAAGGACAUUAAACUUUAAACAAAACAUGGAACAUGCCUUUUACAGCAGCUGCCCUCCCCUAAUUUUAUCUCAAACUGUGAUCAUUUAAUACACCAGCCAAAAUAAAAAGGUAAAACAAACAUCAGUAAUUGAUAGGUGAGCAAAAACAUUACUACAUAUCAUAAAACUCUGUUGAGAGUUAGAGGAGCAACAACUAUUGUAAGGGUUUAACAUGUAUUGCAAUUUUUAACGUGAAAUGACCAAAAUGUCCGUUGGUCGGCAAGCUGGCAAGACAACCGAGAGAUGCUUGUGAAGCCGCUUAUAUAUAUACUAAAAUGAAAAUUAAAAGAUUCAAACUUGGACAAAUUGCUUACAAAUUUCAUGUGAUCACAACUGUCAAAGUAUGUUAAUGAGAUUGUGUGCAAAUGGUUCAUGAAAAUUAACCAUUAAAGCUAUUAUCACGUCAACAGCUUGGAAGCUAUACAGAAACUACAUAACAUAUCCAAAGAUGAGGAGUCUCUAUAGUGAUGGACACAGAAACAAAAUAGUGCAAAAAUUAUUUACUAUUAACGGUAUAUAAAAUUUAAACUCAAAAUAUAAAGGUACAUGGUGUAACCUUGUACUAAUCAUCUAGAGUGAGCUUUCAUGAAUCAAUACAAUUGAUGAUGGCAGCAUACCAACAUCUUAACUGCCAUUCCACACAUGAAUUAAGUCCAACAUCAAAUGUUGUUACCAACUUCCAUAAAUAACGAUUAUAUGUCCUGUUCUCUUUCGACUUUUCUCCUUCACGUAGAAAAAAGAAAGAGACAUAUGACCCAUAAAUAACAAUCAUAUGUUUGGUUAGAUUAGGAUUAUGAGAUAGAAUAAAAAUUAGGAAGCAAGGACAUUAAACUUUAAACAAAAGAUGGAACAUGCCUUUUACAGCAGCUGCCCUCCCCUAAUUUUAUCUCAAACUGUGAUCAUUUAAUACACCAGUCAAAAUAAAAAGGUAAAACAAACAUCAGUAGUUGAUAGGUAUAUUAUCAAACACCCUUGGUGCACUAAUGAUACUGAGAAUUUAUUAGUAAAGAUGAAUGAGUAAAAUAGAAGAAUAUAUGUAAAAUACAAUAGAGAUCAACAACCUGAAAGAACCAUUUCAAAAAGGUUGAUCCUGAAUUAAUUAAAAGGGCACACUAUG